UACGUAGGGCGCAAGCGUUGUCCGGAGUUAUUGGGCGUAAAGAGCUCGUAGGCGGCGUGUCGCGUCGGAUGUGAAAGCCCGGGGCUUAACUCCGGGUCUGCAGUCGAUACGGGCAGGCUAGAGUUCGGUAGGGGAGAUCGGAAUUCCUGGUGUAGCGGUGAAAUGCGCAGAUAUCAGGAGGAACACCGGUGGCGAAGGCGGAUCUCUGGGCCGAUACUGACGCUGAGGAGCGAAAGCGUGGGGAGCGAACAGG
rnacentral:rRNA from 1 species